GAGUUUGAUCCUGGCUCAGAUCGAACGCUGGCGGCGUGCUUAACACAUGCAAGUCAGGGGGAAAGUCCUAAAGGGGGCGAGUAUACCGGCGCACGGGUGAGUAACACGUGAGUAACCUGCCUUUUAGACUGGAACAACUUACCGAAAGGUGAGCUAAUGCCGGAUGCAUAAUGUAACCGCAUGGUUAUAUAGAAAAAGCCGGGGCGACCUGGCGCUGAAAGAUGGACUCGCGUCCCAUUAGCUAGUUGGUGGGGUAGAGGCCUACCAAGGCGACGAUGGGUAGCCGGCCUGAGAGGGUGGCCGGCCACACUGGGACUGAGACACGGCCCAGACUCCUACGGGAGGCAGCAGUGGGGAAUUUUGCGCAAUGCUCGAGAGAGUGACGCAGCGACGCCGCGUGAAUGACGAAGGCCUUCGGGUCGUAAAGUUCUUUCGACUGGGAAGAAAAUGUAUAUCAGUAACUGGGUAUAUAGUGACGGUACCUGUAUAAGCAGCCCCGGCUAACUCCGUGCCAGCAGCCGCGGUAAUACGGAGGGGGCGAGCGUUGUU
rnacentral:rRNA from 1 species